AUUAUUUUAUUCCGCUUCUUAAGCUGGGGUCACACAUUCACGAUUUUUACUGCCGUCCUUGACAGGACCAUUCCCGAUUAAAAUUUGUCAAAAGUCUGAUCAAGAUCCUGUGAAUCGUGGAUGGAAAUUCGAUUUGUAUCUUUCGCCAGGUAAAAUUCGACCGAGUCUGUCACGACUGCGUCCCGAUUCUACCGAAUGUAAUCCGACAGAGAUCAGAUAGUGACAAGACAGUGAACCGACGGUGACGGAAGUUAUCCGUUCGAAAACUGUCGGCAUAAUCGGGAUGAUCAGGUACUGUCGGAACGUAAUCCUAUCACGGUCCGCUCUAUCGCAUUGCAAACGGCUUUGUCUGGUCUCAGUCGUAUUGUAUUCUGUUAUUGUCGGGACUUCUCCAGAUCAUUCCCGUUCCACAGGACACCGUCCCGAAUACACAGAACAUUGUUAGGAAUUCGAUCCGAUACAGCAGAAUCUGUCACGACAUAGGCACGAUUGUAAUCCGACUAGACAAAAUCGGCUGAGUUUCCCCGAAUGUUACGGGACGCACCUAACUGUCGGGGUGCUUUGCCGAACUAUUCGGACCCUUCCCGACCAGUAGGAAUCUGUUACGAACUAAAACGACUGCGUUCAGACAAUAAUAGGACAUUCCAGAUAAUUGAGGAUACUAAUCCGACUUUUUCACUUUUCGUGUCGUAUCGCUGUCUGAUCUCAAACGGGAGCAAUAAUCGGCAAUGUGUGAACCCCGCAUUAAU
rnacentral:lncRNA from 1 species